rnacentral:rRNA from 1 species
UACGUAGGGACCGAGCGUUGUCCGGAUUCAUUGGGCGUAAAGAGCUCGUAGGCGGCUGCUCAAGUCGAAUGUGAAAACUCGGAGCUCAACUCCGAGCCUGCGUUCGAUACUGGACGGCUAGAGUCUGGUAGGGGGACCUGGAAUUCCUGGUGUAGCGGUGGAAUGCGCAGAUAUCAGGAGGAACACCGGUGGCGAAGGCGGGGUCCUGGGCCAGUACUGACGCUGAGGAGCGAAAGCGUGGGGAGCGAACAGG